rnacentral:rRNA from 1 species
UACGGAGGGUGCGAGCGUUGUUCGGAAUCACUGGGCGUAAAGCGCGUGUAGGCGGCCCACUAAGUCUGAUGUGAAAGCCCGGGGCUCACCCCCGGAAGUGCAUUGGAAACUGGUGGACUCGAGUCCCGGAGAGGAGAGUGGAAUUCCUGGUGUAGCGGUGAAAUGCGUAGAUAUCAGGAAGAACACCUAUGGCGAAGGCAGCUCUCUGGGACGGUACUGACGCUGAGACGCGAAAGCGUGGGGAGCGAACAGG